rnacentral:rRNA from 1 species
UACGUAGGGACCAAGCGUUGUUCGGAUUUACUGGGCGUAAAGGGCGCGUAGGCGGCGUGGUAAGUCACUUGUGAAAUCUCUGAGCUUAACUCAGAACGGCCAAGUGAUACUGCUGUGCUAGAGUACAGAAGGGGCAAUCGGAAUUCUUGGUGUAGCGGUGAAAUGCGUAGAUAUCAAGAGGAACACCUGAGGUGAAGACGGGUUGCUGGGCUGACACUGACGCUGAUGCGCGAAAGCCAGGGGAGCAAACGGG